CCAAGCACCUCUACCUGGAUACCUACAGGGCCCCCCCUCUGUUCUCCCUUCUCCCAGGGCCCACCUUUCCUGUACGCGCAAAGGCCUCAGCCACUUUCCGGUUCCGCCCUCCAUAGCAGGUAGUGAUCAGGUCAGCAACACCACAGCUCUCCAAGAAGGUGGCAGAGGACACAGGGCCACUGCAGAAGAGCUUGGCAAAGGCUAUCAUCUCCAUGAGUCCCAGCCGGAUCACUGCCGCCUUGGUGUUGUCGCCAAAGCCCAGGCCAUCACAGAAGCCAGCACCCACGGCCACUACAUUCUUGAAGGAGUGGAGGUCAUAGGUCCUGCCCCAUUCCCAGCUCAAGUUUGCUGUGAGGAGGCCAGACCAGCACGUGACGAACUGUCCUGCCACAUACCCUCAACCAGUCUCUCUCUCCAAGGCAACAGGUCCCCUCCACAUCCUUAGGCAACUUCGCCUGACUGCCCUAACAAACUGCCAUUCAGUGACCAGUCACUGCUCCAAACCAGCUACUCUUCACACUUCUCAAACCAGCCUGCUUCUCAUAUUCCCCAGGCAUUCCUUUACACCUCCCAAACUCCCUGAGAGAAAGGCCCUCCAAACCGAUCUCUUGUCUCCUCCCUUCAGCCUUCCUUCCAGUGACCCCCAGCGCCUCACUGCUUUCCUAAGCCUCUCCAGAGUCAACUUCCUCUCUUUUCUCCGGCAAACUCUUGACCUCCGUCUGCCAUUUCUGUUCUUGCUUCACCCACCCUGAACCCCACAACAGUGAGCCGCACCCUCCCCCAUCCACAUGAAGGUGUCCCUGGCACCUUAAUAAGAGAUAUGCCAAUGGCAUUUGCCUUCAGGUGGCCCUUGAGCUGGUCACAGAUCUUGCGGAUGAACUGAUGGGGCACCACAAAGAUCAGGAUGUCAGCAUCCACUGCAGCCUGGACCACAUCCGGGACAGCCACCUGUGGGGGUGACCAAGUGCUCGCAGGCCUGGCAGACCUCCCCUAGCCACUGUGGAACCCCAUUCAGGAGAUCUGGGAGCCAAAGAGUGAGGCUGGUAGGGGGGCAGGAAGGCUUGUUUGAGACUGAAUCUAGAAGGACUGAACUUGGAGAAAUGAUACUCUACUCCCUCCCCACAGCCACCACACUCUCUCCCUCCAGCUGUCCUGGGCUCUUGAGGACUCCUGGAAACCUCAUCCCAGCGCUCCUAUCCCUUGGCUGUGGGACAGUGCGGGAGGCCAAGAGCAACCUGGGCUUGGCAAAAGAAAGAGCUCAAAUAAGAUUUCAUCAUCCAGCUCCUCAGGGACCCCAGCUGGGAAAGGGGAGCCUCAGCUUUUCUGCUCUCUUCCCUGCUUCCCCUUUCCAGGUGAGGAGAACCACGUGGGUUUGACCAAAGGCCAUAGGUCCAAGGAGCAGCCUCCAAGUCGGCUAAUCACUCAGUGAAUGAGUAACAGGAUUAGUGCCUGAGGCAGGCACUACCGGACCCCUAGUCUGGGAGCCCAGUCUUUGGCUGCCAUGGAGACCAACUUGUUCUCCCAUCCCUUCCCCACCCACCCGCCUGGGAGCCUGUGAGGGGAAAGCACAAGUUCUCCCCAGUCCUCAGGAAAGGGCCCAGAGCAGCCCUCCUGAGACUUUCCCAAGUCCUGCCGCACCUGAAGUGGCCCCCUCAGCAGGAGACACCUGUUGAGUAAGGUCGGCUCCGACUCCUGGCCCUCCCUUCCUCUCCCCAUUCCUUGCAGGGUGUUGGGGCUCACCACAUUUGGGGGCAGCUUGUGCCCUGGCAGGUAUUUGACAUUCUCAUGCUGCGUGUUGAUGAUGUCAGUCAGCUUUUUGCCUCCAAUGUCUUCCUCAAACACCCACAUGGUCACCCGUGGGUCAAACUGUGCCAGCUGGGCUGCAUUGCCACCCACGAUCUUGGCGAUGGCUGAGCCCCUGGCAGGAGGGGGAGCCCAGGAAAGUACAGGAGGAGGGAACAGUGGCAAGAGUUGGGGCAGCGCCCCACCUCAGGAUCUCACAGCAGCCCCCCAGGCUGUUCACUCCUACCUCCCUAUCACCUCCACUCCAUGUCAAACAUGUCCCCAGUGACCUGGCAGUAGAAAGGAGACUCAGUCUCCUCACCCUUUGCUACUAGAGAAGGGAGCCCCUCUUCCCAUCUUCCCACCCCCAAACUCAAGCAGCUCUUCACACGGAGCGCUCUGGAGACGCCUUCCCAUGGUGAACAGGUGCAGCUGCCCAGGCGGGCGGGGGCCAGGGAAGGGCCGGGCACCCUCUGUCCUGUGCUGCUAUGAUAGAAGAUAGCAGCGGGGGCUGAACAGGAACCUGAGGGCCUUUCCCACCUAUUCUGCCUCCUACCCACCUCUGUCCUGGGGGCCUACCCUUCCCCCAUAUUGCUCGACAGAGCCGCUUACCAGUUCCCGGAGCCUACAAUGCAGACUUUCUUGCUAGCCAUGGUGCCGCGUCUCUGCCUGAGCCGGCUCAGUGCCACACUCCCUAGCUCCUCUGCCGGCUCGGGAGCAUUUAACUCCACCACACGUGGAUGCAGCCAAGCCCCACCCUCCAGGGGUGGGUGGGGAGGCUGGCGCCCAGGGAGAUAGAGUCUGGCAGAGCCAGGGAAAGGAGAGACAGGGUACAGACAGGAAGGGGAACAGGAAUGGGGCAGAGACUAGGCCCUGCUUCUCCUCCUGGGCUCAUCGGCUGACAGUGCUGGCAAGCUUCUUCCCUUGGUCCCAGCCCAGCUUCCCACCCCCUCCCCACCAUGGUCUCAUUUUCAGGUCUGCCAAGAAAAUAGCCCAGAUAAGGAGCAGGUGACUGGUCUCCCUCACUCCCUUCUGUCUCCCAGCAUAAAAUAAAAUGUAUUUAGCUUCAGUA